AGAGUUUGAUCCUGGCUCAGAACGAACGCUGGUGGUAUGCUUAACACAUGCAAGUCGAACGGACGUGGCCUAGCUUGCUGGGAUUCUGUCAGUGGCGAACGGGUGAGUAACGCGUGGGAAUCUACCCAGUAGUAGGGAAUAACAGUCAGAAAUGACUGCUAAUACCCUAUACGCCCUUCGGGGGAAAGAUUUAUUGCUAUUGGAUGAGCCCGCGUUAGAUUAGUUUGUUGGUAGGGUAAAAGCCUACCAAGGCUACGAUCUAUAGCUGGUCUGAGAGGAUGAUCAGCCACACUGGGACUGAGACACGGCCCAGACUCCUACGGGAGGCAGCAGUGGGGAAUAUUGGACAAUGGGCGAAAGCCUGAUCCAGCAAUACCACGUGAGUGAUGAAGGCCUUCGGGUUGUAAAGCUCUUUCAGCAGGGAAGAUAAUGACGGUACCUGCAGAAGAAGCACCGGCUAACUCCGUGCCAGCAGCCGCGGUAAUACGGAGGGUGCUAGCGUUGUUCGGAAUUACUGGGCGUAAAGAGCGCGUAGGCGGUUUGUCAAGUUGGAAGUGAAAUCCCGGGGCUUAACCUCGGAACUGCUUUCAAAACUGGCUUACUAGAGUUAUGCAGAGGAUAGUGGAAUUCCUAAUGUAGAGGUGAAAUUCGUAGAUAUUAGGAGGAACACCAGAGGCGAAGGCGACUAUCUGGGCAUAUACUGACGCUGAGGCGCGAAAGUGUGGGGAGCAAACAGGAUUAGAUACCCUGGUAGUCCACACUGUAAACGAUGAGUGCUAGGUAUUGGACUUUUAGUUCAGUGUCGAAGCUAACGCGUUAAGCACUCCGCCUGGGGACUACGGUCGCAAGACUAAAACUCAAAGGAAUUGACGG
rnacentral:rRNA from 1 species